rnacentral:rRNA from 1 species
GAAUUCACUAGUGAUUCAGGCCUAACACAUGCAAGUCGAGCGGUAGAGAGAAGCUUGCUUCUCUUGAGAGCGGCGGACGGGUGAGUAAUGCCUAGGAAUCUGCCUGGUAGUGGGGGAUAACGUUCGGAAACGGACGCUAAUACCGCAUACGUCCUACGGGAGAAAGCAGGGGACCUUCGGGCCUUGCGCUAUCAGAUGAGCCUAGGUCGGAUUAGCUAGUUGGUGAGGUAAUGGCUCACCAAGGCUACGAUCCGUAACUGGUCUGAGAGGAUGAUCAGUCACACUGGAACUGAGACACGGUCCAGACUCCUACGGGAGGCAGCAGUGGGGAAUAUUGGACAAUGGGCGAAAGCCUGAUCCAGCCAUGCCGCGUGUGUGAAGAAGGUCUUCGGAUGUAAAGCAAAUGAGUUGGGAGGAAGGGCAUUAACCUAAUACGUUA